rnacentral:rRNA from 1 species
GCCUACGGGAGGCAGCAGUGGGGAAUAUUGGACAAUGGGCGCAAGCCUGAUCCAGCCAUGCCGCGUGUGUGAAGAAGGCCUUUUGGUUGUAAAGCACUUUAAGCGAGGAGGAGGCUACUUGGAUUAAUACUC